rnacentral:rRNA from 1 species
AUUGAACGCUGGCGGCAUGCCUAACACAUGCAAGUCGAACGGAGGUAGGGGCAACUCUACUUCAGUGGCGGACGGGUGAGGAAUGCGUCGGAAUCUACCCUAUGGUGGGGGAUAACACAGGGAAACUUGUGCUAAUACCGCAUAAUGUCGAGAGACCAAAGCAGGGGACCGCAAGGCCUUGCGCGAUAGGAUGAGCCGACGCCCGAUUAGCUAGUUGGUAGGGUAAAGGCCUACCAAGGCGACGAUCGGUAGCUGGUCUGAGAGGAUGAUCAGCCACACUGGGACUGAGACACGGCCCAGACUCCUACGGGAGGCAGCAGUGGGGAAUAUUGGACAAUGGGCGCAAGCCUGAUCCAGCAAUGCCGCGUGUGUGAAGAAGGCCUUCGGUUGUAAGCACUGUGGGAGAGACGAAGAAGACCGU